rnacentral:rRNA from 1 species
UACGUAGGGGGCGAGCGUUAUCCGGAAUUAUUGGGCGUAAAGGGUGCGUAGGCGGUCUGUUAAGUUUAAGAUCAAAGCCCGAGGCUUAACCUCGGUUCGUCUUAAAAACUGGCAGGCUUGAGUGUAGUAGAGGCGAGUGGAAUUUCCGGUGUAGCGGUUAAAUGCGUAGAUAUCGGAAGGAACACCAGUGGCGAAGGCGGCUCGCUGGGCUAUAACUGACGCUGAGGCACGAAAGCGUGGGGAGCAAAUAGG